UACGUAGGGUCCGAGCGUUGUCCGGAAUUACUGGGCGUAAAGAGCUCGUAGGUGGUUUGUCGCGUUGUUCGUGAAAACUCACAGCUCAACUGUGGGCGUGCGGGCGAUACGGGCAGACUAGAGUACUGCAGGGGAGACUGGAAUUCCUGGUGUAGCGGUGGAAUGCGCAGAUAUCAGGAGGAACACCGGUGGCGAAGGCGGGUCUCUGGGCAGUAACUGACGCUGAGACGCGAAAGCGUGGGGAGCGAACAGG
rnacentral:rRNA from 1 species